UAACGCGUGAGGAACCUGCCUUGAAGAGGGGGACAACAGUUGGAAACGACUGCUAAUACCGCAUGACGCAUAGAGGUCGCAUGAUCUUUAUGCCAAAGAUUUAUCGCUUCAAGAUGGCCUCGCGUCUGAUUAGCUAGUUGGCGGGGUAACGGCCCACCAAGGCGACGAUCAGUAGCCGGACUGAGAGGUCGAACGGCCACAUUGGGACUGAGAUACGGCCCAGACUCCUACGGGAGGCAGCAGUGGGGAAUAUUGGGCAAUGGGCGCAAGCCUGACCCAGCAACGCCGCGUGAAGGAAGAAGGCUUUCGGGUUGUAAACUUCUUUUAAGAGGGAAGAGCAGAAGACGGUACCUCUAGAAUAAGCCACGGCUAACUACGUGCCAGCAGCCGCGGUAAUACGUAGGUGGCAAGCGUUGUCCGGAUUUACUGGGUGUAAAGGGCGUGCAGCCGGGUCUGCAAGUCAGAUGUGAAAUCCAUGGGCUCAACCCAUGAACUGCAUUUGAAACUGUAGAUCUUGAGUGUCGGAGGGGCAAUCGGAAUUCCUAGUGUAGCGGUGAAAUGCGUAGAUAUUAGGAGGAACACCAGUGGCGAAGGCGGAUUGCUGGACGAUAACUGACGGUGAGGCGCGAAAGUGUGGGGAGCAAACAGGAUUAGAUACCCUGGUAGUCCACACUGUAAACGAUGAAUACUAGGUGU
rnacentral:rRNA from 1 species